AGAGUUUGAUCCUGGCUCAGGACGAACGCUGGCGGCGUGCUUAACACAUGCAAGUCGAACGGUGAAGCCCUUCGGGGUGGAUCAGUGGCGAACGGGUGAGUAACACGUGGGCAAUCUGCCCUGCAUUCUGGGACAAGCCUUGGAAACGGGGUCUAAUACCGGAUACGACGCAUCUCCGCAUGGGGUGUGCGUGGAAAGCUCUGGCGAUGCAGGAUGAGCCCGCGGCCUAUCAGCUUGUUGGUGGGGUAAUGGCCUACCAAGGCGACGACGGGUAGCCGGCCUGAGAGGGCGACCGGCCACACUGGGACUGAGACACGGCCCAGACUCCUACGGGAGGCAGCAGUGGGGAAUAUUGCACAAUGGGCGGAAGCCUGAUGCAGCGACGCCGCGUGGGGGAUGACGGCCUUCGGGUUGUAAACCUCUUUCAGCAGGGAAGAAGCGCAAGUGACGGUACCUGCAGAAGAAGCACCGGCUAACUACGUGCCAGCAGCCGCGGUAAUACGUAGGGUGCGAGCGUUGUCCGGAUUUAUUGGGCGUAAAGAGCUCGUAGGCGGCCUGUCGCGUCGGAUGUGAAAGCCCGGGGCUUAACUCCGGGUCUGCAUUCGAU
rnacentral:rRNA from 1 species